rnacentral:rRNA from 1 species
GAUGAACGCUGGCGGCGUGCCUAAUACAUGCAAGUCGAGCGAACAGACGAGGAGCUUGCUCCUCUGACGUUAGCGGCGGACGGGUGAGUAACACGUGGAUAACCUACCUAUAAGACUGGGAUAACUUCGGGAAACCGGAGCUAAUACCGGAUAAUAUAUUGAACCGCAUGGUUCAAUAGUGAAAGACGGUUUUGCUGUCACUUAUAGAUGGAUCCGCGCCGCAUUAGCUAGUUGGUAAGGUAACGGCUUACCAGGGCAACGAUGCGUAGCCGACCUGAGAGGGUGAUCGGCCACACUGGAACUGAGGCACGGUUCAGACUCCUACGGGAGGCAGCAGUAGGGAAUCUUCCGCAAUGGGCGAAAGCCUGACGGAGCAACGCCGCGUGAGUGAUGAAGGUCUUCGGAUCGUAAAACUCUGUUAUUAGGGAAGAACAAAUGUGUAAGUAACUAUGCACGUCUUGACGGUACCUAAUCAGAAAGCCACGGCUAACUACGUG